AUGAACGCUGGCGGCGUGCCUAAUACAUGCAAGUCGAGCGAACAGACGAGGAGCUUGCUCCUCUGACGUUAGCGGCGGACGGGUGAGUAACACGUGGAUAACCUACCUAUAAGACUGGGAUAACUUCGGGAAACCGGAGCUAAUACCGGAUAAUAUAUUGAACCGCACGGUUCAAUAGUGAAAGACGGUUUCGCUGUCACUUAUACAUGGACCCGCGACGCGGUAGCUGGUUGGUAAGGUAACGGCUUACCAAGGCGACGAGGCGUAGCCGACCGGUGAGGGUGAUCGGCCACACUGGAACUGAGACACGGUCCAUGCUCCUACGGGAGGCAGCAUGAGGGAAUCUUCCUCAAUUGGCGAAAGCCUGACGGAGCAGCGCCGCGUGAGUGAUGAAGGUCUUCGGAUGGUGAAGCUCUGUUUUUAGGGGUGAGCAAAUGUGUAGGUGACUAUGCACGUCUUGACGGUGCGUGAUCAGGAGGCCACGGCUAACUGCGUG
rnacentral:rRNA from 1 species